GACGUAGACACAUUUAUUACGAAACUGUGAUGGACUUUGCAUUUUUCAUGCUGGACUACUACUACAUCUAGAUCAAUCUAGUGUUCUGACCCGACAACAAGAAGCGAUUGUGGCUACACCUAUUGAUCCACAAUACAGACCAUCAAACAGUUAGGGAAGAGGAAGAGGAGGAUCUCUUCAUGGGACGACUGGUGAACUGUGGAAGGCCUGAGCCUGAGCCUGGGAGGACUGGAGGAGGACAGUUGAAGUCCCAGCUGUGAGGAGGCCAAGCAGGGCCGUGAAAUGGAGGACGCCAUCCACCAUUCGUGCUGCAGAGCCAUUUGGGGAUUGUUGAAGGAAGCAGUACACAGAGCGCAGCACUUGUUCGGGUCCUUCAGAUCGACGGUGCUCGGGGUAGUUAUGGCGGCCGCUGGGUCCACAAGAUGCUCCGCACGCCCCUCUGGGACUGACGCCUGGUCUGCCCCGUCAGGAUCCUGAGUCGACCUUGGUGAAAGCCAGGGCUGCGUCGAAAACCCGGAUUGUUUUUCUGGCGCACGCAUGGAAGCGACAGCAAGCGGCCAGUGAGGAAAUAUUUGCAGAUUUUUACAAAACAUGUAUUGCUUUACAAUCGAUUACUGUCCCUUUAAAUAUUAAAAUUUGAAUCACUACAA